rnacentral:rRNA from 1 species
AUUGAACGCUGGCGGCAUGCCUUACACAUGCAAGUCGAACGCGAAAGAGGGGCAACCCUUGAGUAGAGUGGCGAACGGGUGAGUAAAGCAUCGGAACGUAUCCAGUAGUGGGGGAUAACCCAUCGAAAGAUGGGCUAAUACCGCAUACGCCCCGAGGGGGAAAGGGGGGGAUCCGCAAGGACCUCACGUUAUUGGAGCGGCCGAUGUCCGAUUAGCUAGUUGGCGGGGUAAGAGCCCACCAAGGCGACGAUCGGUAGCUGGUCUGAGAGGAUGAUCAGCCACACUGGGACUGAGACACGGCCCAGACUCCUACGGGAGGCAGCAGUGGGGAAUUUUGGACAAUGGGGGCAACCCUGAUCCAGCCAUGCCGCGUGAGUGAAGAAGGCCUUCGGGUUGUAAAGCUCUUUCGGCCGGAACGAAAUCGCAUCUCUUAACACGGGGUGUGGAUGACGGUACCGGAAGAAGAAGCACCGGCUAACUACGUGCCAGCAGCCGCAGUAAGAC